ACUCGCAUCCUUCUCUGCGUCUCAUUCGCGUAUCUCCUUUCUCCUUUCUCCUUCAGGUCGCCCUAAAUCACUCACCUCUCCGUCACUCACGUCUCCGUCACUCACCUCUCCAUCACUCACCUCUCCGUUCACUCACCUCUCCAUUUCGCCUCUUUCUCCUUUCUCCUUUCUCCUUCAUUUCACGUCUUCGUUUCAACUCGUUCUCUUUUCUCCUUCCUUCUCAAUCAGUCCACGAUUGCCUCCGUUCUUAUUUGCUCAUUGGGUUCUUCAACCUCGUUCUGAAGGAGAAAGGUUUGAUUGCUCGCAUUUGCGCCUCAGUCCAGUCGUUUUCUGUUUCUGGAUUAGGGUUCGCGCGGUGGACAACGGCAGUUCGACAUCGAAGGGCGAGGAACUCGCACCAGUUGUCUCCACCACACUGAAGCUCGAAUUUCAGUUCCGCCUCGAUUUUGUUUCAAGAUAAAUGAGGACUUGGCAAAAAGAGAUGUUAUGUCUAGAAUUGGAAAACUAUGGAGGGAGUACAGAUGGAAGCUGUGGAAUGAGUUUUAUGACCCCCUUCUUAGUAGAAAUGAUCUCAUCAAGAAUGUUCCCGAU